AGUCAGAACACUCAAUAUAUUUACACAUUGCAAAACUUGAUAUUAUUGUUUUUUGGAUUAUAUAUUUAUUUUUCAUAAAAUGUGUUAUGUGGUUUUAUUAUUGUCAUAUUUAAAUAAUGUCUAAAUAUAUUUUUUUAAGUUCUCAGUUUAAAUUUCUAAUAUGGUGAAUACUGAGGUGUACACCUAGGCAGAAACUCUUUGGGUUCUUUAAUCUUUAAAAUGUAAGGAAGUAUUCAAUAUUGCCACAAUUUCUUUUAACUUGUAAUGUUGUACAAUAUUAAGUGACUUGCUCAAAGCAACAUGCUACUAAAGGGCAGAGGUAGGACUUGAACUAAUAUCUGAUUGCCCCAAAGUCCUUUUUCCUAAAUAUUUCUAUAUUCAGUCUUUGAAAGCUCAUGGGCUUUUUUCAGAUCUCUAAAUAAUUUCUAAAUAAUUUUAUCCUAAAUAAUUUCUUGCUUGAUUGUCACUUUCAUCUGUCUGGCAUUUAGCAGGCUCUGAGUAGUGAUGGUGUGUGCUUAUGAGUAGGACUUUUGAGGAAUCUUGUAUGCAUUUCUGAAAUAUUCUUGACAUGCCCAGCAGUCAUCAACCAUUUAUUCUUGAGAGAGAGUUGACUUUCAGUUAUCACACCUGUGCCUAUUCAGGCUUUCAGACACUCUCUAAACAAUUUUUUCAUUUCUUUGUUUCUUCCAGAUUUGAAUGAUCUCAAUUCUUAGUGAGCAUAUUGUUAUGACAAUUACUGCUAAUGAUUGCUAUUGUAGGUUAUAAAUAAAACAGGUAUUGUUAAGCAGCUUCUAUGAUUUGUUGCUAAUCACUGCUAUAAUAUAUCUCAUGCAAUAUUAACAAUCAGUACUGAAAUUUCAAUAUUCCUAUACACCACUCAUUAUGACAGUUCAGUCUCCAGUGGCUUUUAAUAGCUCUUCCUUGCUUAUAGUUUCAGUUUUUGUAUGAGACUAUGCCAAAUUAUGGUACCCACCAAUAUGGCUUCUUUCCUGAUUCAUUAAUUAUGCAGCUCUGCAGCUACUUCUGGCUCUUCUGGGAAUUUGUUUCCUGUAGUUGAUCUAUCCCCAGUGGAUCACUUGCUCUCUUCCUGCCAAACCCCUUUCUCUACCUGAACUCUGACUCAGUUCUUCUUUGUGGCCCCCAGAGCUCUGACAGCUUUGUUUUAGAGCAUUUGUAAUAAUUAAAAAAUGGUGCCCUUUCAUCAGGGACAUGUGGUCCUGAAACAGAGAUCAAUGUACCCCUCUGCCCUCUGCCAGUCCUCUGUGGAGACCACCCUCCUUGACUCUGAACAACCUCUGAGAGGUCAUGUUGGGAAACUGAAAUUGGUGGAGAAGUUUAGUGACACUGAUUUUUGAACACCACCAUUUCGAAUGUCUUCUGGGCAUUCUCCUGCUUUCUAAAUAAGAAUGCAAACAUAUUUUUUAUUUUUCAAAAGAAAAUGUCAUCUUUGCCACUUGUGUAUCUGGUCUCUAUAUAAAAAGGUGUGUUAUUUCAAGCAUCCACUCUCUGUGACUUUAGUUUCAGCUCUCCAGGGUUUUUCAAAAAAGUCUAGGUGUCAUUUUGCUCUAUAUAAUUUUCAGUCCAGAGAGAUGCUGUGGAGCUCAAAUAAAAUGAAUAUCCUCAGGGACUGACCAUCAUUUUUGUCCUCUCUCUGGAAUCUUCCCCGUUUUUAUACUGAUGCAUUUGCUUGCUUCUCAGUGUCAACCCUUGCUUGCCCAAGCCCUUCUCAGUUGCUUAUUUCUUGACCCUGGCAUUUCCUUUUGUCCUUCUAGCCUCCUUAUCUUGAAUUUCUCUACUUAGAAAAUUUUCAUGGAGAUAUCUUCUGACAACCUUGUCCUCACUCAGGAGGCCUGGUGUCUUUCCUUCAUAGAUACUUCAUUGUAGGCACUCUGUUGCCAAGAUUGUUUAUUCCUGGAUGUGACUGUAGAGGUGUCAAAUAUCCAUUCUUCUGGAUUCUCAAUCCUAGGUAAAGUCAGACCCCCAAGUAUUCAUAUGCUUAGACCUCAUGAAGAUGGCUUUAAUCUGCUUUAACAUAACACUUUGACUUCACUGAUAGAUUGACAUGUUCAUAUGAAGAAAGUUUGUGUAGCUUUUAUUAGUAGUGUAUGAGAAGAUCUUGCACACUAUACUCAUUAUUUUUUGGCCAUCUUUUCUAUAAGCAUCCACAUAAUAAAUUAAUCUUAAAAUAUUGUGCUAGGUAAGGUGUGUCUUCCUUAAUGAAAUGUUACUUGUACAUUAUUAUGUAAUGAAUGGUGACAAAUCUGUCAUAUGCCGUGUUUUGCAUUGUCCACUACAAAGCAUAGAGCUCUAUGUUGUGAUCAUUUUUCUCUAAGUAUAUUUAGCUUAGGCUUUUGAUACUCACCUUUUUAUUUUAUGUUUAUGAGAUCCCUUAACUCAAGCUGAUGACUUCAGUUACCCUAUGAUUUUUAUGCUUUGCUUCAUCCCAAAAGUCACCUAAGAACAGACUUUUAUAAAAGUAAUGAUAACAGAAUAAGAACCGUGCAAUAAAAAACGGAUAGUUACAGAUAUCCUGCAGGGUUCAGAGAAAUUAAAGGAAAUUAGAGAUAAUAAAAUAAGCUAAUUUUAUCUGGGUCAGUAUAGUCAGUAUAACUCCAAAUCAUCUUUUAUGCAACCCAUGAAUUAUUUCCACCAGCUUUACUUCUCCCUCAGUGGCAUUAACGUCCUCUCAUAUGGACUCCACUUAUCAGUAGAAUCAGAUGAUGGCUUUUUCAUGGAGUCUUUUCCUUCUGGCCCAUCCCACUUGGUUAUUAGAAGGAGUGUUACAGAAGAAAGUGGUGUUCAGAGGUCCUUCCUCUUCAAGUCACAGACCUAAUGAGACUGCUAUGGAACCAAAGAGUAUCAAGAUGUAUGUACAAUCACCUCAUCAGUAUUAGAAUAUUCGCAUAUGUUAAUUAAAUCUCUUUCCAGAAAUUCUCAAAACAUAGGAACAUGAUUAAUGAUUAGAGGAAGGGUUUGGAUCUUGUCAGUAUAGUCUUAUUGCCUGCGGAGUUCAGAGAUUGAACUCAUUUUUUUCUAUAUUUUAUUCAUCUUUAGGAGUCUGUUAUGCUUGCUUUUCAGUUUUAGAAGAAAUUACUCCAUUCCUUUUUUCCCUCUGAGACCAUGUCUUCUUAUAGGGCCCAGGAAUUCCCUCUGAGGUCACGGCUCUAAGGUCACAGCACUUAGGUGACUUGUCCCAGUGAUCUUUAUGUCACAACUUAGGUGAUUUUUUUUUAAGCUGAUUAUUAUUUUCUAGGAAGAGAAAUGGGAGAAAUUUAUUUUUAAAAUAUAAAACUAGGGCACACAGGAGUUGAGUAUUUAUCAAAGCUUCCUAGCAAAGAGCACAGAGUGAGAAGUCACAGCUCUGAGUGAUGAGUCUGUGGCUCACCUCUGGGGACUUGUGGUACAGGUUUCUAGCAUGUUCCUUGACAUUUUUGAGGACUUGUUUGUAACCUUGGUAGCCACAGUGUGGGGUGGGGGGGAGGGGGAAUAGGCGAGCUAAGUAACAGGCUAAAACAUCCUCUCUCUCUCUUCCCGGAGGACAUUUUAUCAUCUUUAAUGUAUUCCUACAAAAGGAAAUACAAUUUUUAGAAAUUCACAUAGAAAUUCAGAGAAUCACCAUAUGCAAAAUUUUCUUUUAAAUCUCAUAUAUGUAUAUUUGUAUAGGGAGGGAUGUACAUUUUUCUCUUUCUCUUCCAGCUCCCCACAUCCUUCCUGACAAAACGCCGAUUGUAUUUUAAGUGUUCUGUGCUUGGUUGUGGCUGCUGCCAUUUUCAGAAAAUUUUUCAUUAAAUUUUUGUUUCAAAAUUUGUUGCUUUGAAAGGCUCCCUAGGGUUAUGUAGGGUGUAGGUCUACACAAUUAUUAUCUGCUGUCAGCAAAACUGAAUAGCUAGGAGGGGAUAAUUAUAUACUCCCUGGUGCCAUAAGCCACUUCUGAACAUAUUGCAGUAUAUACUGGAUUCAUUUUAAAGAGGUUGUAACUAAACGAAUCACAGCCUUUUGGGGAUAGGGUAAUAGAUAGUAUAUUAAGACUGUGUAUAGUCUUUUAGAAGUCAGUAUAUUAAAAUCUGUCAGAAAAGGUCAUCAUUGACUAUGGGUUAGUAUCUGUAGUCAGUAACUUGAAUAGUGCCAAUAUAUGCUGGCCCUUAUCUUUCACAGGGUUCAAAGUAGGAAAUGAGAUCUGAAACUUUUGCUGAAAGGGUAUGAGCCAGAUUUCCAGGCUUAGUGGAGAGAAGUUUCUGAUUUUUCUUUUUGCUUUUUAAUGAUUCUAAGUAUUUUAGUGUUGAGGUAUGUAUAGGAUUUUAUGGUCUUUGGAUUUUUGGAUCCAGGGAAAGAAAGGAUAUGCCCUUUUCCUCUCACCCUACCCCCAACCAAUUACCUUUGGAGAGGUAUCAGCUGUGUUUUACUAAUGAGCAUUGCCGGAGGACCUUCUGGAAGCUCACUGAACGCAGGGACUUGUAAGCGUUACAGUGGAAUCAGACAACCUGUCAGUCUGUUUAUACGUAUGCUGGUGUUUUCUUUGCAUGGCAUGCAAACCAAUUAGAGUGAGGCUCUCUUAGAACAUUUUUGAGGAGGUGGAUACUUCUUUUAAUGUUUGGUGUGGGCAUCUGUUGUAUUAGGGGGAGCAAGAUCAAGAACUUUAUGAUCAAUUUUUGGAGGAAAAUUAGAAUGAAGAUAAAAACCAAGUUUUGUUUAACAAGGAUUUAGUAGAGAAAAUGAUCUGAGUCCCAUAUAUCUGUACAGUUUGAAAGUUCAAAAGAAUGAGGACAAACAUGUUUCCUUGACCAUGCUUUUCAUUAAGUGCCUAUUGUUUUGAUAAUUAGUUCAUUAUAGAGGAGAGAUGUGAAUAGUGACCUCUGUCCAGUCUGGCUCAUGAAAAACAAAUGGGCUGAUUUCCUCUGGGCAGUGUGAUCAAUUACCAGUAAUGAAGCUGAAAUGAAUGAUCCUGAUAUGCCUUUGCGCAUUUUAUUGUGCAAGGAAAUCAGUGUCUUACGCAGUUUGAGAGAUGGCCAGAACUUAAUAUUAGCACUGUAAUGGUCUGUCUUCCUGCCCUUCCCUCCCCAAAUCAAGACUUUGUCAGAUAAAUUCAACUGGCACCUUAAGGAGGAAUCAGGUGAAUAUGGGGCAGAGACAGCAGGGUUACAUUUGGAAGGUUUCCUACUAUGUGAGUAGAAGUCAGUUAUAGAUCAGGUAACAGUCAGCAGUUUUAAUUCUCUGCUACAUGGAACCUCAGGGAGGAAAUGUUCUUAUAUGUAGUGAAGAGUUCUUUUUUUCUAAAUGGUACAAUGAUUGAAAAUUGUGGCUAUCAUUACUUUUUUUUUGAUAUUUGCACUUAUAAUAAAGUGAUGCAAUGUUAUUUAGAAGUUAAUACUGAGGAUCUAUAAACAUUUAUUGCAAAAGCUGGUACUUAGCAUCAGCAUUCCAGAAUUAUUUCCACUGCAUCCCACUGAAAAACUGACAAGGGUCUCUGACAGUGGAUGGUACCUGGGUAUUAUCCUCUCAUUUUUUGUCUGUUUCCUUCUGGAUGGCAGUGUUGGAGCCUGUAAGUACAACCCUCUAAGAGAGGUGGGACACAUGAUAUAAAUUUUAAUCCCACUCUUAUUUUAGGUGUCCUGCCUAUUUCAAAAUCUACAUUUCAGGAGUUCCCGUCGUGGUGCAGCAGAAACGAAUCUGACUAGGAACCAUGGGGUUGCGGGUUUGAUCCCUGAUCUCGCUCAAUGGGUUAAGGAUCUGGUGUUGCUGUGAGCUGUGGUGUAAGUCACAGACGUGGCUUGGAUCCCACAUUGCUGUGGCUGUGGUGUAGGCUGGCAGCUGUAGCUCUGAUUGGACCCCUAGCCUGGGAAUCUCCAUGUGCCACGGGUGUGGCCCUGAAAAGACAAAAAAG
rnacentral:lncRNA from 1 species